UUCCGGUUGAUCCCGCCGGACCCUACUGCUAUCGGGGUGAGACUAAGCCAUGCAAGUCAUGCGUCUCCUAGCUACGUUGGAGAUGCGGCGUACGGCUCAGUAACACGUGGUUAAUCUACCCUUAUGACUGGUAUAACCCCGGGAAACUGGGGCUAAUAUCGGAUAGGCUAAGCGUCCUGGAAUUGGUGUUUAGCUGAAAUGGUGUUGAGAACAUGCUUUCGACACUGCUUAAGGAUGAGACCGCGUCCGAUCAGGUUGUUGGUGGGGUAAUGGCCCACCAAGCCUAUAACCGGUACGGGCCCUGAGAUGGGGAGCCCGGAGAUGGAAUCUGAGACAAGAUUCCAGGUCUUACGGGGCGCAGCAGGCGCGAAAACUCCACAAUGCACGAAAGUGUGAUGGGGUUACCCCGAGUGCCAUCCGUUGAGGAUGGCUUUUAAUCAGUUUAAGGAACUGGUAGAAUAAGGGGGGGGCAAGAUUGGUGUCAGCCGCCGCGGUAAUACCAACCCCCCGAGUGGUGGGGACGAUUAUUUGGCUUAAAGCGUUCGUAGCCGGCUUGGCAAGUCUUUUGCAAAAUCCAGCGAUCCAAUCGUUGGAGCGCGGAAGAUACUGUCAGGCUAGGAGGCGGGAGAGGUCGAUGGUAUUCCCGGGGUAGGGGUGAAAUCCUAUAAUCCUGGGAGGACCAC
rnacentral:rRNA from 1 species